GUACACGCUGUGACUAGCAUAUCAAUAAGCGGAGGAAAAGAAACUAACAAGGAUUCCCCUAGUAACGGCGAGUGAAGCGGGAAGAGCUCAAAUUUGAAAUCUUAAAGGGUUUCCCUUUACGAAUUGUAGUUUAAAGAAGUGUUUUCUGUUGAGGUUUUGGUAAAAGUUCUUUGGAAUAGGACAUCAUAGAGGGUGAGAAUCCCGUAUUUGACCUUUACUUUCAACUUUGUGAUACACUUUCAAAGAGUCGGAUUGUUUGGGAAUGCAGUCCAAAAUGGGUGGUAAAUUUCAUCUAAAGCUAAAUAUUGGCGAGAACCGAUAGCGAACAAGUACCGUGAGGGAAAGAUGAAAAGAACUUUGAAAAGAGAGUUAAACAGUACGUGAAAUUGUCAAAAGGGAAGCGUUUGACACCAGUGUUGUUUUUCUGAAAAUCAAUUAAAGAACUGUUUAUGCUAAGUUGUUUAGACUUUAUCAGCUAACUGUUUAGUUUUGAGCUUUUCUUUAAUGCACCUUUUCAGUUAACAAGUCAACAUCAAUUUCUUUUGCUGUAAAAAAGCUUGAGGAAGGUGGCUUGAGAUUCGUCUUAAGUGUUUAUAGCCUCUUGCCUAUGCAGUCGGAGAGAUUGAGGUCUGCAGCGUAGAUCCUUCGGGGCUAAAUGCAUUGGUGCUAAGUUAUAGCAUUUUAUAGACAACUUGUUGACUAUGAUUUGUCUUGUAGCUUACUCGCUUAUGUUAUUUUACCUACGCUUAGGAUGUUGAAGAUGUAGCACAUCAU
rnacentral:rRNA from 1 species